ensembl:lncRNA
AGGCUAAGAGCUAAGAAGGAGCUUCACCUCACCACCCAUCCUGCUCUACGGUGUGUAACCGCCGCCAAUCACACUGCCUGGAGCGCACAACUCGCAUGGAUUGAAUACGCCCAUAAUUCCCUGACCAGCACUGCCAGAGGUUUGUCUCAGCCGCCCCUGUUUCCCUCUCUAGAGGGUGACAUAGCUGUCCCAUCAGUUCAAAUGCACCUCCGCCGCUGCCAUAAGGUCUGGGGAUACACCCGCUCUGCCCUACUCCGCUCAGCUGAAAACAACCAGCGCAUUGCAAACCGCCACCGGACACCAGCUUCUGCAUACAAACCAGGGUGCAGGUCCUAAUGAAGUCUACCAAUCACUCCACCCAUUGAUGAUGGACAAAGACCAAGUCUACAGCACCAUAACACCCAACAAAAGGGAGGGACAGUCUACAUCCCCACUUUGAAGGAUCUCUGCAGCAGCAGCUAUUGCAUCAAUAUUAAAUGCCUGAGUGUUGAAAGAUAAAAUAAGUAUUUUGCAUUUGCUAAAUAAAGCUUGGGACAUACUUUCAUAAUUCCAUGUCAGCGGACAGCUUCACACUUGUACUAGUCGGUAUUUGGUUUUAUAUAAACUUCUUUGAAGACAAAUUGUGCACAGUCCUGGGUUUGCCUGUCAGGACACUCAUGGUCCAAUCACAGAGGGCGGAGGAAAGUCCCAGGUCUCUGAGCCCACUGACGAGCUUAGAGGCCACGAUGGUGCUGAUGCCAGCGGUCCUCAAUGAACAGCGUUUUGCCAUUUGUGUUCCUCCGGUCCAGGUGGAGGUUUGGGUGGAUGCUGAGAGCUUUGCUGGCGUCUGUGGAUGUGUUUGUCAUUCGGGCAGUGGGGUUUGCUCUUUUGGGGGACAGGGACUAUGGUGGUCUUUUUGGAGAAUGUGGGGGAAUACAGUGAAAUGUGUUGUGGAAUAUUUCAAUAAAAGCUCGGUAGAAGAGAAUGAUUUGUCUGAUAAAACAGAGUCUUGAUGAAUGUUUUGAAGCUUCUAUGAGAUCGAGUCGACCGCCCUCCCUUCUCAGGGCACAGCUGCAAACUAACAUUUUGUAUCAUGCUGCUCUUUGCACGUCCGGGUCAAAUACAGGACACUUGAGACACGGCUUUAGCACAAAACAAUGUUAUAACAUAUUUUUACCAUUACAAAUGUUAUAAAUAUCACUGAGCACAUCUGCCAGUUGUUAUGCACAAGCCACAAGAGCUCGGCCGAGGAUGCCUUCAGGUCCAGGUGCCUUUGGUGGCUUAAGAUUUACACACAUCCACCCUGAAUACUGCUGGUGACGCAACAAUGAUGAAGACUGUGGGUAAAACACUUCGUCAUGGCCUUUUAUUUGCUCUAAACUUGACUUACGUUUUAGGGCAGAAAGAAAACGUAAAGUUUGGGACCUCAGAAGAACGUUUUGUUUUAGAAUUGGUGCGUCUCAAUCUGCUAACAUGCUCAUCUUUCAUUGUGUCAUACACACUUAGUUUUUGUGUUGUAAGUGUCAAAUUGUCGGCCUUUUACAUUUAGAUUGUGUACUUUUCUUUUCUUCAAAUUCAGAAUAAAUGUUUUUUUUCUUUAUGUGAA